AAAAGGAAGUUGAUAAUUGCGACAAUAGUGCUCAUCAAGAAGAUGUGCUUCUACAAGCAUCCAUGAACCUUAUAUCAUUAAUCAAGUUCAGUGGCCAAGAGGCAAGAUUCCCAUUAUAUGAUUCGGCUACGAGGCGCAUACAGAAGCUUGUGGAGCCUAUCUGAUAGAAAAUUUCUGCACAUUUUGCUUGGGAGUACUCCUAUAUACUAAAGUUUGUACUAAAGAAGUAGCUUAUUGACAUUUCUUUAACAAAGGGAUUUAGUUUCACAGUUACAGGUAACCAUAUAAACUAUUAGGUUUUAUAUACUUACAAUAUUAAAGAUUUUCACGCCAUCAGUUAAACUUAACUGACUACUGAUAGGUUAUUACUCUAUUUUCCUUAUCAUAGAUUUGGUGUGCUAUGUUUAUUUAUCUUUAACUUUACAUUUAUUUAUUUAAUUCAAAAGAUGUUAAUGAACUUUAAGGAUCACAUUCUUGGGACUAAUGGCAUCAUAUAAGUAAUCAAUACCAACAAGUUUAAUGUCAGUAUGCUUGAUCAAAUAUUCUGCUCCGUCUGAGGUGAAUGCUUCUUAACCAAGAGUUUAACUUGGAUGUCUUAGCAAUUCAUUUGAUUGAUGGUUUCAAGCAAAUACUUAUAAGACCUUAUUAUUCUCAUUAUAGAAUCCUCCUCUUUUCCCACUAUGUAAGCCUCUUUAUGACAUUCGAAAGAUCUUCUAAUAAUAGGACAAAUUUCUCCAAUUUUGCAAGGAUCAUCUUUGUUGAUAAUCUUCUAGAUCUAUACUUAAAGACUAUUCAUUUAACCGCAAUCACUCACGUAAAGCACAAUAAAUGUAGAAAAAUAAGUAGACAAGUUACUCAAUAUUCAAUAGACAAAUUAAGGAAAUAAUAAAUAAAAACAAUAUGGAUAUGUUUGAGUUUUUGGAAAGAACUUAGAAACUAAUGUUGAAUAUUGAUUUAAACGUGUUUAGAAGUUUCUAUUUAGUAAGGAAAGGAUCAAAAUAAUCCCUCUUCUUUGGGCUAAGACUCAAAGUUAUCCUUGAGUUUUCAUAUAAAGCACUAAUAGUCCCUCUUGUUUGCUAUAUUGGUACAUUUUUAGUCCUUCUUCAAAAUUUUACCUUUUUUUUGUAUUGAUUGUAUCCAUAACCUAUGUAUGAGAUGUUCAAUUGUCAUUUUAUAUAUUUAGUAGAAUAGAAAAGACAUAAAGUCAACACUCAAGUCAUCCCGAAUAUUCGAAAAGACACCUUAAAUUUGCAACCGUCUUAUUACCCACUAAACAAUUUUGAUUAUAUAUAACUAUAUCAUUUUUUUCCCAACUGACAUAGAGAGUGGUGAAGUAAAUGGGAGUAGGGCUCAAUUUGACAUGGGGUGUACGAGGUGAAGGAAAAAAAGAAAAUAGAGGAAUGAGUCACUUGAAAGUGGGAGGUGAGAGAUGAAUUAAAAUUUAGAAUCAAAAAGAAAUAAAGUUAAAAAAAUAAAGGAAAAACUUAAGAUAAAAAAAAUACAUUUUUAAUUAAAUUAACAUGUGUCAUAUAAUGAUUGGUGUGUGAAGAUUCUUGCUUCUUAAAACUUGGGGCUGAUUGAAAAAUAGUAUAAUAAUAUAUUUUCAAAAUUGUUUAGUGAGGUAAUAGGACAGUUGCAAAGUCAAGGUGUCUUUUUGCAAAUCCGAGACAACAUCAGUGGUAACUUUAUGUCUUUUCUCUUAGUAGAAAUAAAAACUCUAUAUCAAAGAAUGUGAGAAGAAAAACACUUUAUUUUGUUUAGUAGAAAUUGUAGAGUAGGUAAAGUCGAGAGGUUCAUCACGAUAAUUUCACGUGCAAUAAUACAAUUUUUUCUUUUCCUGCAAAUUCAUAUGUUAAAAUGUUCUUAGUUUAGUAACGGUAAUAUUUCUCGUGAACAGAAAAAGGUGUUUUUCUUAUCAUUUCUCUCCGAAAAAGUUAUUAUUUCUAUUAAAUAUAUUAAAAGAUGAAUUGACAUUCCUUAUAUAAAAUUUUGGACGAAAUAAAUGUUAAACAAUAGAUGAAAUUUUACGAGAGGACCAAAAGUGCACCAAUUUUGUAAACAUGAGGGACUAUUAGUGCUCUUUGUGAAAAUUCAAGGAUCACUUUGAAUCUUAACCCAAAGAUGAGGGACUCUUUUUGUUCCUUUCCUCCUAUUUAGUUGGCUAAGUAACAUGUUUGUUAGGGCUCCUAGUUGAGCCAAAGCAUAUCUUUUGUUAGUUGAUAAUAUUUAGCCUAGUGGAUAAGGUUGUGGUUAAUUUACUCGGUCAUGUUUCUCUUAGAUGGUUGAGUUCUAAUUCCUAUUUAAAGUGUCCUAUGUACUUGAUUUAAAAAAUUGGUAUGAAGAGUCAGGUUAGGUGAAACUAAGAGAAAAUCAAUACCAAGAAGAAAGUGACAAUUGAGUGCAAACAAUUGCUCCCAAUGGACCAUUUACCACAACUCAACAACUAAUUUCCAUCUUUAAGGGGGAUAAUACGAAUUUUGGAGCAUAAAGAUGAAGACUUUCUUCAAGUCUCAGGAACUGCGGGAUUUGGUGGAGAAGGGCUAUGCUGAGAAAGAUGAAGCACAAAGGUUGCAGGAGAACAAUAAAGAGGACUCGACGACACAAUUUUGCAUCCAGCAAGCAGUGCAUGACUCAAUUUUUCCAAUAUUUCUAUUGCAGAAACCUCAAAGAAGGCAUGGCAUAUCGGGAAAAAGAAUUUCACAGCUUAAUAAAUGUAAUGAUUGUUAAAAUCACUCCGAAGUGAUUUAAGAAAUUCAUCCAUACAAAGUAGUGAAUCUGUGUAAGACUACUUAUCUAGGGUGUGUCCAAUUGUUAAUAAUAUGAAGGCAUAUCCUUACAAAAUUACUGUGAAACUAUAAUUUCUAAAG